rnacentral:piRNA from 1 species
UCCAUACACACACAGUCUUAUGCUCUUGA